GGGUUUGUAUCGCAGUGACAGAGCUCUGGUCUUGUAAACCAGUGGUCGUGAGUUCAAUCCUCACAGGAGGCA